GAUGAACGCUGGCGGCGUGCCUAAUACAUGCAAGUCGAGCGAACGGACGAGAAGCUUGCUUCUCUGAUGUUAGCGGCGGACGGGUGAGUAACACGUGGAUAACCUACCUAUAAGACUGGGAUAACUUCGGGAAACCGGAGCUAAUACCGGAUAAUAUUUUGAACCGCAUGGUUCAAAAGUGAAAGACGGUCUUGCUGUCACUUAUAGAUGGAUCCGCGCUGCAUUAGCUAGUUGGUAAGGUAACGGCUUACCAAGGCAACGAUGCAUAGCCGACCUGAGAGGGUGAUCGGCCACACUGGAACUGAGACACGGUCCAGACUCCUACGGGAGGCAGCAGUAGGGAAUCUUCCGCAAUGGGCGAAAGCCUGACGGAGCAACGCCGCGUGAGUGAUGAAGGUCUUCGGAUCGUAAAACUCUGUUAUUAGGGAAGAACAUAUGUGUAAGUAACUGUGCACAUCUUGACGGUACCUAAUCAGAAAGCCACGGCUAACUACGUGCCAGCAGCCGCGGUAAUACGUAGGUGGCAAGCGUUAUCCAGAAUUAUUGGGCGUAAAGCGCGCGUAGGCGGUUUUUUAAGUCUGAUGUGAAAGCCCACGGCUCAACCGUGGAGGGUCAUUGGAAACUGGAAAACUUGAGUGCAGAAGAGGAAAGUGGAAUUCCAUGUGUAGCGGUGAAAUGCGCAGAGAUAUGGAGGAACACCAGUGGCGAAGGCGACUUUCUGGUCUGUAACUGACGCUGAUGUGCGAAAGCGUGGGGAUCAAACAGGAUUAGAUACCCUGGUAGUCCACGCCGUAAACGAUGAGUGCUAAGUGUUAGGGGGUUUCCGCCCCUUAGUGCUGCAGCUAACGCAUUAAGCACUCCGCCUGGGGAGUACGACCGCAAGGUUGAAACUCAAAGGAAUUGACGGGGACCCGCACAAGCGGUGGAGCAUGUGGUUUAAUUCGAAGCAACGCGAAGAACCUUACCAAAUCUUGACAUCCUUUGACAACUCUAGAGAUAGAGCUUUCCCCUUCGGGGGACAAAGUGACAGGUGGUGCAUGGUUGUCGUCAGCUCGUGUCGUGAGAUGUUGGGUUAAGUCCCGCAACGAGCGCAACCCUUAAGCUUAGUUGCCAUCAUUAAGUUGGGCACUCUAAGUUGACUGCCGGUGACAAACCGGAGGAAGGUGGGGAUGACGUCAAAUCAUCAUGCCCCUUAUGAUUUGGGCUACACACGUGCUACAAUGGACAAUACAAAGGGCAGCGAAACCGUGAGGUCAAGCAAAUCCCAUAAAGUUGUUCUCAGUUCGGAUUGUAGUCUGCAACUCGACUACAUGAAGCUGGAAUCGCUAGUAAUCGUAGAUCAGCAUGCUACGGUGAAUACGUUCCCGGGUCU
rnacentral:rRNA from 1 species